rnacentral:rRNA from 1 species
CCUACGGGAGGCAGCAGUGGGGAAUAUUGGGCAAUGGAGGCAACUCUGACCCAGCAACGCCGCGUGAAUGAUGAAGGUCUUCGGGUUGUAAAGUUCUGUGAUGGGGGAUGAACACAAUGACGGUACCCCAAUAGCAAGCCACGGCUAACUACGUGCAAGCAGCCGGGGUAAUACGUAGGUGGCAAGCGUUAUCCGGAAUGACUGGGCGUAAAGGGGGCGUAGGUGGUUUAGUAAGUUGGCGGUGUAAUUCCGGGGCUCAACCCCGGCGCUACCGCCAAAACUAUUAGACGAGAGUGCAGGAGGGGUAAGUGGAAUUCCUAGUGUAGCGGUGGAAUGCGUAGAUAUUAGGAGGAACAUCAGGGGCGAAGGCGACUUACUGGACUGUAACUGACACUGAGGCACGAAAGCGUGGGGAGCAAACAGGAUUAGAUACCCGGGUAGUC